AGUGAACGCUGGCGGUAUGCCUAACACAUGCAAGUCGAACGGCAGCACAGUAAGCUCUUGCUCCUACGGGUGGCGAGUGGCGGACGGGUGAGGAAUACAUCAGAAUCUACUUUUUCGUGGGGGAUAACGUAGGGAAACUUACGCUAAUAUCUCAUAUGACCUACGGGUGAAAGCAGUGGAGCUUCGGACCUUGCGCGUUUGAUUGAGCCGGUGUCGGAUUAGCUAGUUGGCGGGGUAAAGGCCCACCAAGGCGACGAUCCGUAGCGGGUCUGAGAGGGUGAUCAGCCACACUGGAACUGAGACACGGUCCAGACUCCUACGGGAGGCAGCAGUGGGGAAUAUUGGACAAUGGGCGAAAGCCUGAUCCAGCAAUACCGCGUGGGUGAAGAAGGCCUUCGGGUUGUAAAGCCCUUUUGUUGGGAAAGAAAAGAAGCAGGUUAAUACACCGCUGUUCUGACGGUACCCAAAGAAUAAGCACCGGCUAACUUCGUG
rnacentral:rRNA from 1 species